CCUAUUAGUUCUGAUCGAGUUUCGGCAGAAAAUGAUCAAAACCCAUUUUAGAUGCUAAACUUAAUGAAUAUUGGGGUAUUUAUUUCCAUCUAUUAAUCAGUUCUUUUUCUGGCAAUAUUUUGGAAAAUUAGCACCACUUUGUGGCGCAUUUUUUCAAUUUUUUUAAGUUCAAAAAGAGAUGGAGCAUAAACAUUUAGCCUUUGUGAAACUUUUCUUAUUAUGGAACUUGGACUUUGAAAAUUUUAAUGAAAUUGGUAGCAUUUUAAGUUCAUUU
rnacentral:lncRNA from 1 species